rnacentral:rRNA from 1 species
CCCUUAGAUGUUCUGGGCCGCACACGCGCUACACUGAAGGAGGCAGCGUGUACUCCUGGAUCGAAAGAUUUGGGUAACCCGCGAAUCUCCUUCGUGCUAGGGAUUGAGGUUUGCAAUUAUCCUUCAUGAACGAGGAAUUCCCAGUAAGUGCAAGUCAUAAGCUUGCGCUGACUACGUCCCUGCCCUUUGUGCACACCGCCCGUCGCUACUACCGAUUGAAUGAUUUAGUGAGGACUUCGGACUGGGACCGAUGCGGCUUUCGGGCUGCGUCGGUAUUCUGGAAAGAUGUCCAAACUGUAUCAUUUAGAGGAAGUAAAANUCGUANCA